AAAAUACAGAGCUGAUAGUGCUCUACUAAGGGCUGUGUUUCCUGUCAGGUGGCUUUAUCGUCCUGGUUUUGUAAUCAGUGUGAAAGGGAAAGUGGUCCAUUUCUAAAAUGAGAGGAAUACGCUGCAGAACAAGCUCACCAGGAAGAAAACAGUUGCUUCAGUCGUGUCUGGCUGACCCUAUGGACUGUAGCCCUCCAGGCUCCUCUGUCCAUGGGAUUCUCCAGCAUUCUGGCCUGAAGAAUUCCAUGGACUGCAUAGUUCAUGAGGCCGCAAAGAUUCGGACUCGACUUGAACGAUUUUCAUUUUCACUUUCACCCCCUUUCCUCUUUGAUAAUUGUGUUCCAGCUACAUGACCACCUGCCAGAAAUGCUGUAGAAGAAAUGCUACAAAUUGGGUACUAGAAGACUGCAAAGACGGCUCUACUUAUUCUCUUCUUUUUUUACAUAUCCUUUUGCAAGAUGAUGUUGAAAUAGUUCCCAGUGAGAGAUGGCAUUUCCCCACCCCUUGAAUCUGGGCUGGCCUUGUGAACUGCUUCACCAAAGAGAAGCAAUACCAUGCCAGUUCUGAGUCUAGGUCUCAAAAGGCCUUGCAUAGUUUCAUUCUCCUAGAAAUUUCAGAGACCCAUAUGAAUAAACCCUCGCUAGACUAGUUUUUUGAGAGCAUGCCAGACUUCACUAGCUAUGGUGAAGUACCAUAGCUAGCAGCCAUCCAACCUCUGGAAGCAGACCCACUCAGCUGACCUAUAGCUCUCCACAGACACAUAAGUGAGUUUAACCUGUAAAUUCAUAGGCAAUGACUCACACAGUUAAUAGUUGCUGUGUGAUUCUCAAAAGCACCGUCUGAGAUGAAGGGAAGAGAUAGGGAAUGCCUGAUGUCCCAAUCAGAACAGCCUGCGCCAUCGUCAUCUACCAGUGUCCAAAAGGCCUCCAGAGACUUUUUUCAAUGGACUUAGUGGUCAGUGUUAAUUGGGCACCUUACUAUUCGCCAGACAAUGGCUUUAAUGCUUUAUGUAAAUUAAUUCUUAAGCCUCAAAAGACCUAGUGAGAAAUGUAUUAUUUUUUAAAUUUCAGUUCAGUUCAGUCGCUCAGUCAUGUCCGACUCUUUGCGACCCCAUGAAUCGCAGCACACCAGGCCUCCCUGUCUAUCACCAACUCCUGGAGUUCAUUCAGACUCACGUCCAUCGAGUCAGUAAUGCCAUCCAGCCAUCACAUCCUGGGUCGUCCCCUUCUCCUCCUGCCCCCAAUCC
ensembl:lncRNA